UACGGAGGAUGCGAGCGUUAUCCGGAUUUAUUGGGUUUAAAGGGUGCGUAGGCCGGCUUUUAAGUCAGCUGUGAAAGUCCGCGGCCCAACCGUGGAAUUGCAGUUGAAACUGGAGGCCUUGAGUGCACACAGGGAUGCCGGAAUUCAUGGUGUAGCGGUGAAAUGCUUAGAUAUAUGGAAGAACACCAGUGGCGAAGGCGGCUUUCUGGACUGAAACUGACGCUGAGGCACGAAAGCGUGGGGAGCGAAAAGG
rnacentral:rRNA from 1 species